rnacentral:rRNA from 1 species
GACGAACGCUGGCGGCGUGCUUAACACAUGCAAGUCGAACGGAAAGGCCCUGCUUUUGUGGGGUGCUCGAGUGGCGAACGGGUGAGUAACACGUGAGUAACCUGCCCUUGACUUUGGGAUAACUUCAGGAAACUGGGGCUAAUACCGGAUAGGAGCUCCUGCUGCAUGGUGGGGGUUGGAUAGUUUCGGCGGUUGGGGAUGGACUCGCGGCUUAUCAGCUUGUUGGUGGGGUAGUGGCUUACCAAGGCUUUGACGGGUAGCCGGCCUGAGAGGGUGACCGGCCACAUUGGGACUGAGAUACGGCCCAGACUCCUACGGGAGGCAGCAGUGGGGAAUAUUGCACAAUGGGCGGAAGACUGAUGCAGCAACGCCGCGUGCGGGAUGACGGCCUUCGGGUUGUAAACCGCUUUCGCCUGUGACGAAGCGUGAGUGACGGUAAUGGGUAAAGAAGCACCGGCUAACUACGUG